UACGUAGGUGGCAAGCGUUGUCCGGAUUUAUUGGGUCUAAAGGGUGCGUAGGCGGCUUUGUAAGUCAGUGGUGAAAUAUGGCAGCUUAACUGUCAAGGUGCCAUUGAUACUGCAGAGCUUGAGUACAGAUGAGGUAGGCGGAAUUGACGGUGUAGCGGUGAAAUGCUUAGAUAUCGUCAAGAACACCUAUAGCGAAGGCAGCUUACUAAGCUGUAACUGACGCUGAGGCACGAAAGUGUGGGGAUCAAACAGG
rnacentral:rRNA from 1 species